rnacentral:rRNA from 1 species
GCCUACGGGAGGCAGCAGUAUUUAAUUUUCGUCAAUGGGCACAAUCCUUAACUAGCAAUUCCUCUUUAACUAUUAAUUUCUUCUUAUCGUAAAUUUCUUUUUAAUUUUAAAAAUAUCUUAUAGAGGAAAUGAACUCCGAUUGAUAUUACCCUUCGAGGAAGUCACGGCUAACUACGUGCCAGCAGCCGCGGUAAUACGUAGGUGGCGAGCGUUAUCCGGAAUGAUUGGGCGUAAAGUUUUCUUAUUCGUCCUUCUAAGUCUGGAGUGAAAGGUACCGGCUCAACCGGUACAGGCUCUGGAAACUG